rnacentral:lncRNA from 1 species
UUAAUAGUUAAUUAAGGGGAAAUUUAUUAAUGUAACGCCUGAUUUAAAAUAGGGAUUUAAUUGAAUUAAUGAUUUAGGGUUUUAUGAGGAUUAGAUGGAUUUCUUGAAUAGUAUGAAAAGGUGUGUAAUGUAAGCAAAGAAAAGUAACAGAUGGUGGCUAUAAUCAAGAAAAAUUAUAAGAUAAGAAUUUCAGAGAUGAUGAUGCUCAUCUUUUUGUACAUUUUUU